rnacentral:tRNA from 1 species
UCCCCUGUGGCUCAGUUGAUAGAGCAUGGUGUUUGCAACACCAGGGUUGUGGGUUCGAUUCCCAUGGGGAA